rnacentral:rRNA from 1 species
ACAGACGAGGAGCUUGCUCCUCUGACGUUAGCGGCGGACGGGUGAGUAACACGUGGAUAACCUACCUAUAAGACUGGGAUAACUUCGGGAAACCGGAGCUAAUACCGGAUAAUAUAUUGAACCGCAUGGUUCAAUAGUGAAAGACGGUUUUGCUGUCACUUAUAGAUGGAUCCGCGCCGCAUUAGCUAGUUGGUAAGGUAACGGCUUACCAAGGCAACGAUGCGUAGCCGACCUGAGAGGGUGAUCGGCCACACUGGAAUUGAGACACGGUCCAGACUCCCACGGGAGGCAGCAGUAGGGAAUCUUCCGCAAUGGGCGAAAGCCUGACGGAGCAACGCCGCGUGAGUGAUGAAGGUCUUCGGAUCGUAAAACUCUGUUAUUAGGGAAGAACAAAUGUGUAGGUAACUAUGCACGUCUUGACGGUACCUGAUCAGAAAGCCACGGCUAACUACGUGCCAGCAGCCGCGGUAAUACGUAGGUGGCAAGCGUUAUCCGGAAUUAUUGGGCGUAAAGCGCGCGUAGGCGGUUUUUUAAGUCUGAUGUGAAAGCCCACGGCUCAACCGUGGAGGGUCAUUGGAAACUGGAAAACUUGAGUGCAGAAGAGGAAAGUGGAAUUCCAUGUGUAGCGGUGAAAUGCGCAGAGAUAUGGAGGAACA